GAUUGAUGGGGUUACGAUCGGAAACGACUUUGAUGAUCUUUCCAUCAACAGAGAUGCCAUCAGUACCAACAGGCUUAACAUCAGCAUCGAAGAUGCCGAGGGUAGAGUCAUACUUGAGGAGGUGAGAGGCUUGCUUGACACCGCCAGAGUCAUUGAUGGCAAUGACAUCAAGUGGAGAGUCCUUUCUACCAUGCCAACACCUCAAG
rnacentral:misc_RNA from 1 species